UACGUAGGGUGCGAGCGUUAAUCGGAAUUACUGGGCGUAAAGCGUGCGCAGGCGGUUCUGGAAGUCAGCUGUGAAAGCCCCGGGCUUAACCUGGGAAUGGCGGUUGAAACUACAGGACUAGAAUCUGGCAGAGGGGGGUGGAAUUCCACGUGUAGCAGUGAAAUGCGUAGAGAUGUGGAGGAACACCGAUGGCGAAGGCAGCCCCCUGGGCUGAGAUUGACGCUCAGGCACGAAAGCGUGGGGAGCAAACAGG
rnacentral:rRNA from 1 species